UAUCCAAUCCACGCAGCCGAGCUAUUCCCCAAUCCCCUCCCUCUCCUUCCUCCCGUCCCACUCCCUGUCUCCUCCGGCGGGCGGCAGGAUCCUCUCCUCCACCUCAUGGUCUACGCCUCCAGAGGCCUCGCCUCGCUCACGGACUACCAACGCCUCGCUCCUCGCUCCAGGGAGAAAAAGAGAGGAUGUGCUUGGUCUCUGCUGCCGCCGCCUCUGAUGCAGCAACGGCGUUCUCCCGCAACGAGGCCAUGCCCGAGCGGCCGCGCUUCCGUCGAUCUCUCCCGCGCCAUUCCCGCCAUGAAGUUCUUCCACGUCGACGUCGCUGGGAGGGCUCCCAAGAUGGACCAGGGAAGAAGGCUUUGGGCCGUGGUGGGCGGCUACAGGGGCGGCCGGCGAUCUGCGAGGCCACGACGGUGUCUGGGGAGGCGACAACGAUGGUCCACAUCCCCACCAGCCGGGCCACCUCGCCGGUACCGCUGUCCCCACCUUUGCAGGCCACCUCGUCGGCACAUCCAUUCUCACUGGUCAACGCUGGAUCAGGAACACCUAUAUUCUUUGAAGCUGAAUGGGUUUGCAUAGUAUGGCUGAUUUAUUAUUCAGUUACUUACGUUGAUGGAAACCUGUUCUGUAUUGGGUUUCUGUGCUGAUUUAGUAAUUAUGUUGCCUUUAUAAUUCACAAAGUUUUGUCAAUGAACUGUCUUUGCUUGCGUUCCUGAAAGUUUGUCAGUACUUAUGUUUACAGAAGAGUGAUCAUCGUACCUGAAGCUGGCCUAAGGUGUCCUUGCCGGCGACUUCACCGUCUCGAACCCAUCUGCAGGUUGAUAGAGUUGGAAAAUAUACCCUACUACUGACAGCGGCAAGGCAAGCACGCCGGUGGAUUAUCUCCCAUGUCCCGGGUUGCAUGGAAGAUCUAGGUUCCCGAGACUGCUUGAUCCAGUGGGGGAAUGACAUGGGUUUUUGUUUUUUUCCAAGCGACCCAACAGGGGAUCGAUUUUCAUUACCAUCAAGAUAACGAAAACAGCAGGUGUUCAGACAGUAAAGAAAGAAGAGAGAGGGGGAUCGCCGCCUACUGCUAGCAUUCUUCUGAUACUUCUGGGCUCUAGCACAUUCCUCUGGGGGUUGGCUGUCCUAGCAGUGUAUAUUUUGUUUAUGGACACUGUAAAAAUAAGCUGAGAAUUAUUUUAUCGGUGUCUUACUUUAGUUCAUCCUAACGUUUCCAGCUGCUCCCUAUAAUGCUAUCAAAGGAAACGAGCAAACAGGUAAUGGAGAUAUACAUUUUUGUGAUUGUUCUUAAUUUCCAUCGCUGGGACUUGGAACCAAUGAUAUUCUUUCAAUUGUAAGUUUGACGGUUCAACCCAUAGUGGUGCAGGUUAGAUGGUGUUCUUUCGAUUGUAAUUUUUUUUGCAAAGGGAAGGUCUAUUGCCUUCCCUUCAGAGCCUCCAGUAAUGCUCAUUCACACAGAUAAUCAGAUAUAGUUGGCCACAAGUAUUUUCCAAAAAAAUGAAAUGUUUGAUAUUACAUUUCAUCAUUAAGCAGCAAGAGUAUGUUUUCCCUGUCAAGUAUGUUACAACAGAACUUGAGCAUAUCCAUUUUCUACUCUGCUACAUGUCGUGUACGCUUGGCCAGAUUUGAGAAUAUACGAGUAUAUCAUUAAUACCUUCGUGGAGCUUUCUAUCUAAUGUCAUACUUGAUCAACACUCAUGUUUGAUUCCUGAUUGUGCUUUACAACUGUGAGAGACUUCAUAUGUACUUGAUAUUUACUGUUUUUCUCAUCUUUUCCAUGCAGGUGGACACCUCUUGUCUAGAUGGAAGCCAAAUUUGUAAAACAUUGAAGAAGCCAAAUAGUAUAGUUUUUUGGUGGUGCUUUUAACUUCUAAUGGAUAUGGUAGGCGACUGCAACAUUAAGUCAAAGGUGAUUGAGUGUGAUUAGGUGGUCUCUGAUAGUAUAAAGAUUUGUUACUAACCUAUCAAAUACAUACAAGGUUCUCCAGUCAUAUAGUUAAUAGGAUGGCAAUGUAAGCUUGCUGAAGCUAUUUUGCUUUGCUUUCUUCUUGUUAUGAUCUACUCUUGAAACGCUUGACUGGUACACUGAUAGCUAAUAUAUCUAGAAUUUGGGUGGUUCUAUAUUUUUCUUGUCAUAUUUUGUAUACUUGGAAGUUGUAUCUUACUAUUUUGUAAUUUUUGAGGAUCUAUAGUUUCUCGAUCACAGUCUGUUCUGCGCUUUAGUUUAUUUUCAGAGAACAUAGAAUAUAAAGUAGUUUUUGUCCUGCAGCUUCGUAAGCAUACUGUCUAUACAACCCAAUAUCCGUGCUCCGGUGAUUGCAGCUAAUUAGUUUUGCUUAAUAUCUUUCUUUGGUUUCACAUGCACCAUACUUUCAUUUAUUUUUCUUCAUGCAAAGCAUAAUGUUUUUCUCAAUAGGUAUUAUCUGGGUUAUUUUUGGAAUUCAUCCUGGGACUGCUUCAUGCUUAGUUUGUGUAUGCCACCCAGAAUUCAAGAUGUAGUCAUAUAGUUAGGUACAAAGUUUUUUCCCCUGGUGUGUUGUAAAUAUUUUACUGUGAUUUUUUCGGACAGCUAAUUCUAAGUGCGCUGACAUGGAUUACUAAUGUUCAUUGCUAUUAGACCGGUUUGUUUUACUAGCUGGGUCAGCUGAAUGUUAAAAUGGGAGCCAGGAUAGUGAUAGUCCUCGUUGGGCUGUAAAUUUGAAAAGUUGUUAGGUUUCUAUUAUGGAGUUCUUAGAAUCGUACCAUUUAUCUUCAUACGUUAUGGCUUCUGGAGUAGAAGAAUAUGUUAAUUGCUAAUACCCUCAUUCUUCUGAUAUUUCAGAUUUGCAAAGCUGCAUUGAAAAGGCAUUUGACUGCAUUUAUAUACUCGUUACUUUCAAUUUAGUUCAUGCUUGGUUCAGUUGUUGGCCGUGUGAUUGCUAGGCUACCUAGGGAUUGUUCUGUGAGAAUCGAUCAGCCUAGAUGGAGAAUUCUCGCAACAAACUUUGGCAAGUGCCAUUUCACUUCAGUUAGCUGAAAGACAAUACGAUGAGCAAGCUUUCUACCAUUUAAUUGUGUACUUUCUCGUGUCAAUGAGGUGACUGAGCCAACACACUCAGGUUCUUUGUACUUUGUUAUUUACUCAGUUUUUUAAUAUAGUCAAGUUCUCACAUGUCGUAAAUCCUUUUAUAUCCACUUUUCUGCAAGGAAUGUAUGUAUUUUCAUUGGAUGCAUUUGGUUUUCUCUUGAUAACAUUCAGUCAUUAAGGCUAUUUUUUGGAUAUGAAAGCACCUGUUCAUUUCUUAUCUGUAACUAAACAUUGCUUCCUGUAGAUUUUCGUGUUUGUAAUUUCUGGAAAUC